rnacentral:rRNA from 1 species
AUGGCCGCCAGACUCCCUCUCGCCGCGUGCGUCGUCGCCUUCCACCUCUGCCUUCUCCUCUCGCCGUCCUCCUCACUCCGCCGGCUCUCGGAAGCGGAGAGCUCGCUAGUCCGCCAUGGCGUCGGCAUCAGGCCCGCCUACCACUUCCUGCCCGCCAAGAACUGGCAGAACGAUCCGAAUGGACCGAUGUACCACAAUGGCGUGUACCACAUGUUCUAUCAGUACAACCCUUUGGGUGCGGUGUGGGGCACCGGCAACCUCUCAUGGGGUCACUCCGUCUCCCGCGACCUCGUGAACUGGGACGCCCUUGACACCGCGCUCGACCCCACCGCCCCCUUCGACUACAAUGGCUGUUGGUCAGGCUCCGCCACAAUCCUCCCCGGCGGCAUCCCGGCCUUGCUGUACACCGGCCGCAUCCAAGGCGACAAGGAGGUGCAGGUGCAGAAUGUCGCCUUCCCCAAGAACCCUGCCGACCCGCUCCUCCGCGAGUGGGUCAAGCCUGCCUACAACCCCGUCAUACCACUCCCAGCCGACGUCCCUGGAGACAACUUCCGUGACCCGACCACGGCGUGGGUAGGCCGCGACGGCCUAUGGCGUAUCGCCGUUGCAGCCAAGGUCGGUGGCCCCAAUGGCAUUGCCUCCACGCUCAUCUACCGGAGUAAAGACUUUCGGCACUGGAAGCGGAAUGCCUUGCCGUUGUACACAUCGCGCGCUGCAGGCAUGGUCGAAUGCCCGGACUUAUUCCCGGUGGCGGAGCCUGGCGUGGAGGAGGGGCGACUUGGCUACGCGUCCGGACCAGCGAGCAGUGCUGUGAGGCACGUGCUGAAGCUGAGUGUGAUGAACACGACCCAAGACUACUACGCGGUCGGCAGGUAUGAUGACGUGGCAGACACCUUUGUGCCGGAGGUGGAUGUAGAGCGCAACGCCGACGAUUGCCGGACCUGGCGCCGCUUCGACUACGGGCACGUGUAUGCAUCAAAGUCCUUCUUCGACUCGAGCAAGAACCGGCGCGUGCUAUGGGCAUGGGCCAAUGAGUCCGACAGCCAGGACAACGACAUCGCCAGGGGCUGGUCCGGCGUUCAGACGGUUCCGAGGAAGGUGUGGCUGGACCAAGACGGUAAGCAGGUAAGGCAGUGGCCGAUCGAGGAGAUCGAGACAUUGAGGAGCAAACGAGUCGUCGGCUUGCUAGGAGCGCAGGUGAAUGCCGGUGGCAUGAACAAGAUCGUUGGUGUGGGCGCGCAGGCUGAUGUGGAGGCCAUCUUCGAGAUCCCGUCCCUAGAAGAGGCUGAGACUUUCCAGCCCAACUGGCUGCUGGACCCCCAAAAGCUAUGCGAGGAGAAUGGUGCGUCCGUGCCAGGCAGGGUCGGCCCUUUCGGUCUGCUCGUCAUGGCCUCCAGCAAUAUGCAGGAGCACACGGCUGUCUUCUUCAGAGUGUUCAGGCACAACCAGAAGUACAAAGUUCUCAUGUGCACCGACCUCACAAGAUCGACUGGGAGGGACAACGUGUACAAGCCGUCAUAUGGAGGGUUUGUGGACAUAGACAUCGAGCAGCAAGGGAGGAGCAUAUCUCUUAGAACAUUGAUUGACCAUUCGGUAGUGGAGAGCUUUGGAGGUGGGGGCCGGACAUGCAUCACGGCACGGGUGUACCCUGAGCACGCGGAGAACAAAAAUAGCCAUGUGUUCGUGUUCAAUAAUGGGACCGGACUCGUGAAGGUGUCCAAGCUCGAGGCAUGGAGGCUGGCGAUGGCUUCAGUAAACGUCGUGCAUGGCGGGUGA